GCGAAACCUUUACACUGCACGCCAGUGCGAUAAGGGGAUCCCAAGUGCGCAGGCAUAGAGCCUGCGCUUUUGUACACCGUAGGGAGGUGUACGAAUAAGGGCUGGGCAAGACCGGUGCCAGCCGCCGCGGUAAUACCGGCAGCCCGAGUGAUGGCCGAUCUUAUUGGGCCUAAAGCGUCCGUAGCUGGCCGCGCAAGUCCAUCGGAAAAUCCACCCGCUCAACGGGUGGGCGUCCGGUGGAAACUGCGUGGCUUGGGACCGGAAGGCGCGACGGGUACGUCCGGGGUAGGAGUGAAAUCCCGUAAUCCUGGACGGACCGCCGAUGGCGAAAGCACGUCGCGAGGACGGAUCCGACAGUGAGGGACGAAAGCCAGGGUCUCGAACCGGAUUAGAUACCCGGGUAGUCCUGGCCGUAAACAAUGUCUGUUAGGUGUGGCUCCCACUACGAGUGGGUGCUGUGCCGUAGGGAGGCCGCUAAACAGACCGCCUGGGAAGUACGUCCGCAAGGAUGAAACUUAAAGGAAUUGGCGGGGGAGCACUACAACCGGAGGAGCCUCCGGUUUAAUUGGAAUC
rnacentral:rRNA from 1 species